ensembl:lncRNA
CUGGACUAUACCAGCAGCAAGGGACAUCAUUACUGUACUUUUCCAUGUUCUCUCAGGGUAGGACAGGUUGUACAACCUACUGGAUGGCAGGGGAGCCCUAGGAAGCAGGUCUAUAGUGCUAUCAUAGAUUAACCCAGGUCAUGGGACUAAGGGGGAAUGGCAGAUACCGAAGCCAACUGCAUGGGCUCUUCCCUUGAAGGAGAGAGGUUGGAAGCGGCUCGGGGACUGGGUGGCUGCUUGAUGGCUGUAUUAGCUAAGGUAGAAGAAGGAAGGUGGGCAGUAGGAGAGGCAUGAGGGUUGCUGGAUCUUUCAGUGUGCCAUUGUUGUAGGUGGUUAUCUAGUUUGACAGAAAGGGAGGUGAGUCGAGGAAUUCAGAUUCAUCCUUAACGCGAUUGCCAAAGUCCACUCAGAGAAAUCCCCGGGAGUGUCACAUCAACCCAGCCAGACUCUGCAGCUAUAAUUCAGAACUCGAUGGAGUACUCGGCCAAGCUGCAGGAGCCUUGAAGAAGGGAGAGUACUUGGUGGCCUACUUUCCCUGAACAGGAUGGUCAAACACUUUCCUGAGUCAGUCAAAGAGGAAUAGACAGAGCAAAUGGGCUGACCCAGAUGGUCUCCGGUAAGACAUCUUAGCCCCUUCAGUGGAAUAAGUGGUCAUUGGCUAAAAACAAGAGAACACUGGAGUAGAAAGGACUAACAUUUUCCCAGAUCACCUGAAUAUGGUUUGGGAUCGGGACCGGGUGCUUCAUGGUGGUUGUGAGCAGCCAGGGGAGGUGGAGGUGGUGUUGCCGGCACGGGCUGAAUGGGCUGGAGACCGGUAGACAGCUGAGUAAGUUGAGAAGAUAUAAAUUUAAUUGACUACUAUUUGAGAGAUCUGAGCAGACAUGACAAGGUUGCUUUCAGUGAGGUCCUGGAGGUAUUGAUCAUGCUGUCCAAGCAGUGCGCUGACUUGAGAGGGCUAUAUGCAAGAAAUUCGGUUCUGCUGGGUCCAUAUUGGCCAGUGGCUCUUACAACCAAUGACUGUUUUGGACCCCAAAGCAGAACACACAUUCAAGGAGAAAAAGCUAAACAUGUUUUAUUAAAGUAUUGAUAAAGAUAGAGAUGGUGGAGGACUGACGAGGGAGGAAGACCAUGACACAGUGGGGUUUGGGCAUUUCUGAUUGAAUUUGAUAAAACUCCAUCAUGGAUUUUCUGUAACAUUUGUAUAUAUGGUUGCUCUGAGGAUGCAUGCUUAAUUUGGUUGUAAUCAGCCUCUUGGGGUGCUAAAGUGCUCAAUAUUGUGCCAGUUAGUUAAAAUGGGACAGGACUCAUUUUAUUGGUGGGGAUUUCGUAUGGAUUUGGAAGAGGAGCCGGAGACGAGUGCUGCUCGCUCUUGCUCUGUCUUCUGGGUCCAGCUCUCCGCCUGACUUCGGAGCUCGCGUCGCGAGUCCUCCUUCCCCUAUGGAAAGCCAACACACCCUCGCUGACUCAGAGGAGUCAGUAGAGGGUGCUGUUGCACCAAAAACCGAGAGCAGCUCUCAAGCAUAGAAAGAGCUGCUUGAGGUGAUUUCUAGGGCACUUGAAAAGCUGAAUAUAGACUGGCCUGGGGAAGAGGAAGUGGCUCGUAGCAGGCUUGAUGAACGCUUCCUCUCCAGUGAAAAUAAGUAUAAAUCUCCCUCACACCGCAGAAAACUCCCCUUUUUUCCAGAAGUGCAUGAUGAGAUAUCACGCUUCUGGGGAAAACCAUACACUAGCCAUGUUUAUAACCCCACGACGUCUGAUUACUCAGCCAUCAUGGGAAGUGAGCAGCAUGGCUAUUUAGCUAUGCCACAGCUAUGCCACCUCUCUCCAUCAAUGGCAGGUAAUUUAGGGGGGCCAACUUUGCCUUCCAAGCCAUGUAAGGCCACCUCGGUGUUGGUGGGAAAAGCCUAUGUGGAAGAGGGUCUUGCUUGUGGGUCACUGCAUACAGUGACAGUGUUGCAGGCCUACCAAGCAGAUCUACUGAGUGAGCUCGAUACUGGGGAGGGAAUUGGGCCCGAGGAAGUGGCAGAGCUGCGCCGCGCCACAGAUUUGUCUCUCCGGGCAACCAAGCAAACUGCCCGUCACAACGGCUGUUCAAUGGGUAGCUUGGUUGUGGCGGGUGUGUAUGGGUCAACCUCUCAGGGAUGGGGGACAAAGAUAAGGUCUCCUUGCUGGAUGCCCCUGUUAAACCUUCCGGCCUGUUUGGCGGCACGGUUAAUGCCAUCACCGACAGGUUUCGCGAGGCAAAACAGCAAAUGGCGGCAUUCAGCCAGUUCCUUCCCCGUCGUGUCGAGUUCGCCCAGGCAUCCAUGAGUGGAGCCCGGGCCAGCGCUAGUGCGAGGGAGGCACAGAAGGCGAAUGUGGCAGCCCGCCUCCCCCCCGCAGAGAGCCAGUUGGACCGGGCAGCCACAGCUGUAACCCGCUAACAGGCCUGAUCUAAGAAUGAUCAUAAAAGCAAAGCAGGCAAGGAAGGAACGGUCCUGAUGGGCCAUGGAGGGAUGUAUCAGGGGACAUGAGGUUGUUAGGGCAGAUAGCCCCCAGUGCUACUGUAGGGGCUGCCCUAGCCAAGGCCAUCCCAAGUUUUCAGCCUUCUCUGGUCAGCGAGCUGUCACAGGGCAACGAAAUCUGAUGCGUUCCAUCCAGCAGAGUGUGGAAAAGCUAACGUCACUAAAAGACCAUCUGGCAGCGUGGAAACUACUGCCAAAUGUGUCUCCAUGGGUUCUGUCUAUCAUAGAAAAGGGUUACUGGGUCCAGUUCAGCGCUCGACCCCCCCCCCGGUUCAGAGGUGUGCUCACCAAGGCAGUCAGCAAAAACCAGAAUGCAACAUUAGCACAGGAAGUAAGAUCCCUUUUGGACAAAGGGGCCAUAGGACAUGUACCCCAUUCCCUGAGGGAGGGAGGGAGGGAGGGAGGUUUUUACAGCCAUUAUUUCCUGGUCCGAUAAAAAGAUGGGAGUAUGCGGCCAUUUUUAGAUCCGUGUCUUCUGAACCAUACUCUUCGGACAUACAGGAUCAAGAUGCUGACGCUCAAACUUAUUGUGCCACAGAUCCAGUUCGAGGACUGGUUUCUGACGAUAGAUCUGAAAGAUGCAUAUUUCCACAUAGGAAUAUCACCCAGUCACAGGAAGUUCCCGAGGUUUGCAUUUGGAGACAAUGCAUACCAAUAUCGGGCUAGCUUUAUCCUCUUGCACCUUCACAAAGUGCAUGGAUGCUGCUCUGGCUCCAUUGCGACUCCAGGACAUCCGUGUUCUAAACUACCUGGACGACUGGUUAAUUCUAGCACGAUCCAGGGAACUGGCACUUCAACAUCAAGUUGUUGUUCUCGCCCACAUGAGGCGCUUGGGGCUCAGGUUGAACCUCAAGAAAAGUAUGCUUUCUCCAGCGCAGAGGACAACUUUUCUAGGGGUUAUGUGGGAUUCUACUAUGAUGAGGGUGUUUCUAUCCCCAACAUGGAUAUGAUGUUGAGCCUCAGAUCUGAUGCAGACCCAGAGAAUUAUAGAAUAACCGCAGUCCAUAUUUCACAGUCAACAUAAACAUGACACUAGUAGAGUAAAGCCAACACUGUGGAAGCAGUACAUGAUAUUCUUUUGAUGCCAUCACGAUAGGUAAAGUUAAUUAUCACAUGCUUUACUGUUGAGUUACUCAUGAGGUAGUUUUCCAAUGAAUACUUUUUUGAGAACUCCCUGCCUGAAUAUCACAAACUCGGGCAGACAUUUUCAGCAGCAUUAACGCUAAAUAGUGAUGACGAUAACUUUCCUGUGGUCAUUUCCUUUCCUCGCCUCAGGACUCCAACUCUGCUGUUACAAUCAAAAGGUCAAAGCAAAAAACAUUAACUUUGAGGCACGUUUAGAUUUGGAUGAUGCAACCGGGAGCGCAGUCCGCAAUGUGAUUGGACAAUAAUUUAACACAACAUGUGUUGUAAUAGUAAUAACACAAAAAGUGUGUAGGAUAUUAACACAUCGUUUCUGAGUGUGUACUUUCUCCUCAGACCCACUAGCUUCUCAGUGACUGAGCUCCAGUGAGCAGGGCCAACGUUACGAUGAUGUAAAUGUAGGUGUCGAUGUCUUGCUGUAGGGUCAGUCAUAUGCAAAUGUAGUUAUUUUAGUUUAGUUUUUUAUUUAUAUUUUUUAAUUGAGGUACUCCUAAAGUAUUGUAGGAUGUCCCAUCCAUUCUUCCUCUCUCUUGCUCUCUCUGUUCAUUUACAGAUGACUUUCAGAUUCAGAUAAAUUAGAGGUGAGGGUUCAGAGCUUUCCUGCUGUGGAAAAAGUGCGGAUACAAUUUUGCUUUAAUGGUUGUGGAUUUUUUCUUCUGCAAUGGGUGGCUAAUUUCUCUGCAACAUAUGGUUUCUUUUGGCAAGCUGAGCACAGUAAUAAUUUGGACUAUGCACAGUUGUCCAUGUAAGAGCCAAUAUCCUUAUGUGUUGCAUUAAAUAUUAUACCAGAGUGCUGUGAAUUCUGAAAUCUAAUUGGUCAAAUGACAGGUUUUCAGUAGUGCAUUUCUAAUACGUUAUCAUUUGUAUAGUAACAGCUAAUUCACACUUGUAUAAACAAAUUUUAAAAAGUGUUUUUGAAAUACAAGAAAAAUGAAUAAUCACUAAUAUGGUGAAGCUUUCUGUAUGGUAACAUUUAUUUAACAUUUAUGGAAGGAGACUCCAGUGACACUUUGUAAUAGUUGUCCUCCAUGUGAGAAUCUUCAGGACAGAGGACUUUGGGGUUCUUAGUAACAUGAGAAGUUUUUUCUUAUUGACCUCACAAUAAAAAGAGGCUGGUGAGCCUAAUUAACUACAGGAACUAACUACAAACUGACAAAUGUAUAACAUGUCAUUCAUUAGUAAAAUUAAUUUAAAAAAAGUAAUUGUAGGCAAAUUGCUGUGGUAUAAGAGGAAUUCACCACUCAGGAGGUGCUGCCAUAAGAAAAUAAUCUACUUGUCAGGCUGCAUUACACCACCCCAUAGCUAAUUAUAUUCCUAUAACAGUACACCCUGAGCAUUUUAUUCUUUACUUGUAACACUUAUUUGACUACAACCUCUUACCUUUACCAGAAUAUCCAUAGACCAUAGACUAACAGCUAAGAGUUUUUACUUCACUCAUGAUAUAACUUACACAUUCCCACAUUCCUAUUGUGGUGUCCCCCUCAGCCUUAGCCCCAGCACCCCAGACAGGACAAAUGAACAAAAGACAAUUGUUAGCAGCAGAGGAGCUGAUUUGUUAUUAGUGGGCUAUGAGGCAAAAGUAAAAAAUUAAAACUGACAACUCUAGUUUAUCUCUGACUUCUUCUGACACCACUGACAAUAUGUCUUUUCUCACGUUCAUUUUUGUUUCUCCUAUCUUUUCUAGUGUAUGUGAAAGUAAUAGGAUAAUAAUAGUAGAAUGUAUUCCUUAAGAUUUAUUAAUCCAUUUUACUUACCAUAGAACUCAGAAAAAAGUGAAAUUUGGGCUUGUUUUUAAAGCAUUUUUAUGCUUCUGGUUGAUCAAGAUGAAAAGCUCUGUUAUAGAAUCAGUAGCACAUCUUACUGACCAUAUUUAAACUUAGUUAGUUCUUAAGGCAUUUGCUUUUCUCUUUACUUUCCCUUUUAAAUAAUCAUUCUCCAUGUCAAUUUUUAGUUUUCCAUUUGAAUGUGCUUUAUGAGUACUGCUGCUUUACAUGCAGUAUGACCAGUAUGCAGUAUGAAGUGAUUAUGAUACAACCAACAAUAAACCCAAAACUAAAAUAGUGCUGAUAGUUAUAUAUGCUGUGUGUCCUCUCUCUCCCCUCCUCUCUCUGCCUUGUUCCCUGACAGCUCACAGAGACCAGCUGUGCCACCACAAUGGCCUGAUUGGUGCUCUGCCACCCGAGCAUUCACCAUGCAGGUGGACCACAAAGUCCCCUGAUUCUUUUGUCACUUCUAGAGAGAGAGGCAGCCAGAGGGUAGGAGGGAAGGAGACUUUAACUUUGUAAACUGAAGUAAGAAAUAAUUUGUUAAAUAAAUUUUGUGCCUAAUAACUUAGUGAAAAGUUAGUAAAACCAUUCAAUUCAAUUCUGUUUUAUUUGUAUAGCACUUUUAACAAUGGACAUUGUCCCAAAGCAGCUUUACAAAAAUAUAUAAAUUCAGGAUAUACAUUUUAAAUGAAUUUAUCCCUAAUGAACAAGCCAGAGGCAACAGUGUCA